AAUGCUGAAUCAGGCUGUUUUCAAGGUGACGGAAGCGGACAAAAAACGAGCACUGCAGGCUCAAGAGCAUUUGCACACCGCAAGGGCAUUCAGUGAAGCAGGGAACAAGGUGAUGGAAUUGAGGAACAAAUUAAAAUCUGCAAUUAAGAAAUCAAGACCUUAUUUUGAUUUGAAGAUGAAGUAUGAUCAAAUUCUUGAGGUAAGG